rnacentral:rRNA from 1 species
AGUGAACGCUGGCGGUAAGCCUAACACAUGCAAGUCGAACGGCAGCACAGUAAGAGCUUGCUCUUACGGGUGGCGAGUGGCGGACGGGUGAGGAAUACAUCGGAAUCUACUUUUUCGUGGGGGAUAACGUAGGGAAACUUACGCUAAUACCGCAUACGACCUACGGGUGAAAGCAGGGGAUCUUCGGACCUUGCGCGAUUGAAUGAGCCGAUGUCGGAUUAGCUAGUUGGCGGGGUAAAGGCCCAUCAAGGCGACGAUCCGUAGCUGGUCUGAGAGGAUGAUCAGCCACACUGGAACUGAGACACGGUCCAGACUCCUACGGGAGGCAGCAGUGGGGAAUAUUGGACAAUGGGCGCAAGCCUGAUCCAGCCAUACCGCGUGGGUGAAGAAGGCCUUCGGGUUGUAAAGCCCUUUUGUUGGGAAAGAAAAGCAGCAGGUUAAUACCCCGCUGUUCUGACGGUACCCAAAGAAUAAGCACCGGCUAACUUCGUG